rnacentral:tRNA from 6 species
GCGGAUGUGGUGGAAUUGGUAGACACACUGGAUUUAGGUUCCAGCGCCGCAAGGUGUAAGAGUUCGAGUCUCUUCAUCCGCA